rnacentral:lncRNA from 1 species
CCGGCCGCCUGGCUAAUUUUUUAUUUUUUGUAAAGACAGGGUUUGACUAUGUUGCCCAGGCUGGUCUUGAACUCCUGGACUCAAGCAAUCCUCUUGCCUCAGGCUCCCAAUGUUCUGGGAUUACAAGUGUGAGCCACCACUCUCGGCCUACUUCUUCUUCUUCCUCAUUUGUAAAUACACAUAACGUAAAAUUUACCAACUUAACCAUUUAUAAAUGUACAGUUUAAUGAAAUUAAGUACAUUCGUAUUCUUGUGCAACCAUCAUCACCAUCCAUCUCCAGGACUCUUUUUAUCCUGCAAAACUGAAAUUCUGUACCCAUUAAAUAAUAACUCCUCAUUUCCUCUCCUCUCAGCCCCUGCAACCACUGAAGUUCUACUUUCUGUCUCUUUAAAUUUGACUACUCAAGAAACCUCAUUUUAGGUGAGCUGUAUCCUGAGAGCUGUUUGUCGGCAUCAACAUUUUCCUAUUUGAAUUGAGAACUGCUAAUAGGAUUGUGCUGGUGGAGCUGAGUUUAAAGACCAUAUGGUUCUGGCAGAGGCUGUAUCAGAUGUCCCAAAAAAGGUAUUAUUUUAACUUCUCCUCUCUAGUUCUGAGCUGUUGCGGGCACUUGGUAAAUACUAAUGAAUGAUGAGGCUGGAGCUAGCCUGAGAGGGUGCUGGGAGUCUGGGACGCAGUAAAAGCUUUAACAGUGCUUUCCCCAAGGGCAUCUCGACUCUGACCUUCUGGCAAAGAAACUGGUUCUGCCAGAUGGUAGGAUGGAGGCUUCUUGUUGCCCGAACAGCCCCGGCAGCCCAGUCAACAGUCAGUGUCUGCUCUGAGCAAAAAACCUUUUAGGUGCUGGAGAGCACAGAUGCUGCAGGCAACCUGCAGCCUGGCCUCUUGAAUCCUAGUACCUGGCUUUCAACUCGAAACCGUCUGAGCCUUCAUCUGUACAGUGCGGAUGAAAACAGCUCCUACCUCACAACAUUAUUGUGAGGAUUAAAUGAAAUGAUGUAAGAAAAAAAAAUUUAGCACAGGGUAGGGGGCAGA